rnacentral:rRNA from 1 species
UACGUAGGGUGCAAGCGUUGUCCGGAAUUAUUGGCGUAAAGAGCUCGUAGGCGGUUCUGUCGCGUCUGCUGUGAAAACUCGGGGGCUUAACCCCCGGGCCUGCAGUGGGUACGGGCAGACUAGAGUGCGGUAGGGGAGACUGGAAUUCCUGGUGUAGCGGUGAAAUGCGCAGAUAUCAGGAGGAACACCGAUGGCGAAGGCAGCUCGCUGGGACGGUAUUGACGCUGAGACGCGAAAGCCGUGGGGAGCGAACAGG